UCUAUGGGUUGUAUCUCUCUCCUUAUCAUCGUUCUAACCUAACUAUACUUCAGCCUCACUAUCUCUCUCCUAGCGCCUCUCUUAUCUAUCUUCUUCAUCGACCUCUAAACCGAUACAGAAAAAUACCCAGAAGAAAUCUCUUAAAUUAUUGCUCUUAAACCCAACCCCUUUCUCCCCAUCUUCUUUAUCUCCUCGACAAAAUCGAGUUCUCUAGUAAACCUUAUUCUAAACAGGUAACCAUGUACUUAAGCAAAGAGGAAGAGAAGCAUUCUUCUUACCAUUUUCUUAUUUUCAUUUUUGCGGUUUAGGUUAUUACUUAACGAUCUUCUUUUAUUUUUUUUCAGAGGGUUUCUUUUUAUCCAACUUCUGUUCAGAUAUGAAAUAAAAUUAGGGUUCUGAUUUUGUGGUUUUAAUUUGUUAGGGUUUCUGUAAUUUGUGUUUGUAGAAAAUUUCAUCGAUUUUUCUUUUGAUUCUUCCAAUUUCUUUGGGUUGGGUAUCUUUCUGAAUCCUACAAGUUUGAUAAACUGAUUUUUGAAAAUUAUUACAAUUAUCUUGACUGCCUUAGACUGUAUGACCUAAUUUGGUAAAUACUGAGAUUUCUUCUACAAUUCUUUCUCUGCAUCCUAAUUUUUCUUUAUACAAUUUCUUUUCUAAGAUCUGACUUAGGUUCGUAACAUUCUUGCUCUUUACAGAAACCAAGCAAUAUGUUUCUAAGAUGGGUAAACUCGCUCAAUUUUUAUUGCAUUUAGAUUCUAUUUAUUGUUAUUUUUUUGAUUGUAUGGCUUUUGAUUUCAGGGUUUGUUGUUGAGGUUGUUCUCCUUCUAUACAGCAAAGAGGAUAAAAUUCUUUCACCCAAUUUCUUAUUGAUUUUUCUUUUCAUCAUUCUUUUGGUAUAACCGCAUGUUUAGGGUUUUUGAUUUUAGGGCUUUAUGAUUAUAGGGUUCACUGUUAUGGUAUUUCUCCCUUUCUACAGAAAAAAGGGUAAAACUCUUUUACUCAAUACAUUUUCCUUCCAUCAUUUUUUCGGUUCAACUGCGUGUUUACCGGUUUUUGAUUUCACGGUAGCUGUUAAGGUCUUUCUCCAAACAAAAAGGGGCAACAAGAUGAUGAAUUGGAUGAUUUCAGUGAAAAUGUGCAAAGAACUUGAGGUGUGGAGCUCACUUUACACAAAGAAACUACUUAAUAGGAUUAAGGACAUGUACAAGCAUGUGAAUGAUGGUUCUUGACUGAAGGCUCCUCUUAUUUAUAAUGG